rnacentral:lncRNA from 1 species
GAUAUAGCUUAUAUGAUUCAGAUUCACUAUCAAGCUCGUUUUUUUAACAGAAACAAAAUCAAAACUAAAGGAAACACAAACCCAGAUCACAAUAAUCUACUCAUGACCCCCUAACUGGAAACUUGGCCGUUGCCGCCGCGUCACCGUAGCACCAGCCCUCGUCGGAGAAAUAUCCCUUUCACCACCACGACGACGUUUCACUUUACUCUUCCUAACAAAUCCUUAGUAAUCGACAAAGGGCUACGUAGCGUGACGUAAGCAUUCUUGUAAUCAGCUUUCGUUAUUUACAAAAUCCCACGCUUCUUCUUCUUCCCAAUUUCCCAUCCAUGUUCAGUGUAUUCACCUUCUCCACAUCGAAUCUAUAAAAAUCAGAGUUUGAAGGGAUCUUAUGAAAUCACGAUUAAGAAACUCGAAUUUGAAGUUAUAUAAAAGCAAUUGACGAAGAUGAGUGAAUUUACAGAAAAUCAAUUAAAUUGGAAGUUACAGAGAAGACUAAAUACUUGCAUCCGAGAUCGAUUUGGCCAAGAAGAGAGACUGUUCAAAGCUUGUCAAAAUCGACGACCCCAUUGAUCUCAUCAACCAAAAGAAGUUAGUCUAAUUUGUAUUGUUUUUAAACGAAGAAAAUCCAACCAAAAUAUUUUCAGGUGAAGA